rnacentral:tRNA from 1 species
AGGAUUUUAGUUAAUUUUUAAUAACAUUUAAAUUGCAUUUAAAAAUAAUAAUUAAUAAUAAAUUUAUAAAUCUUA